rnacentral:rRNA from 1 species
AGCAAUUAUACCGCGAAACUGCGAAUGGCUCAUUAAAUCAGUUAUCGUUUAUUUGAUAGUACCUUACUACUUGGAUAACCGUGGUAAUUCUAGAGCUAAUACAUGCUAAAAAUCCCGACUUACGGAGGGAUGUAUUUAUUAGAUUAAAAACCAAUGCCCUUCGGGGCUCCUUGGUGAUUCAUAAUAACUUCUCGAAUCGCAUGGCCUUGUGCCGGCGAUGGUUCAUUCAAAUUUCUGCCCUAUCAACUUUCGAUGGCAGGGUCUUGGCCUGCCAUGGUUACAACGGGUAACGGAGGGUUAGGGCUCGACCCCGGAGAAGGAGCCUGAGAAACGGCUACUACAUCCAAGGAAGGCAGCAGGCGCGCAAAUUACCCAAUCCCGAUUCGGGGAGGUAGUGACAAUAAAUACUGAUACAGGGCUCUUUCGGGUCUUGUAAUUGGAAUGAGUACAAUUUAAAUCCCUUAACGAGGAACAAUUGGAGGGCAAGUCUGGUGCCAGCAGCCGCGGUAAUUCCAGCUCCAAUAGCGUAUAUUAAAGUUGUUGCAGUUAAAAAGCUCGUAGUUGAACCUUGGGCCUGGCUGGCCGGUCCGCCUCACCGCGUGCACUGGUUCGGCCGGGCCUUUCCCUCUGGGGAUCCUCAUGCCCUUCACUGGGUGUGCUGGGGAACCAGGACUUUUACUGUGAAAAAAUUAGAGUGUUCAAAGCAGGCCUAUGCUCGAAUACAUUAGCAUGGAAUAAUAGAAUAGGACGUGCGGUUCUAUUUUGUUGGUUUCUAGGACCGCCGUAAUGAUUAAUAGGGACAGUCGGGGGUGUCAGUAUUCAAUUGUCAGAGGUGAAAUUCUUGGAUUUAUUGAAGACUAACUACUGCGAAAGCAUUCACCAAGGAUGUUUUCAUUAAUCAGGAACGAAAGUUAGGGGAUCGAAGACGAUCAGAUACCGUCGUAGUCUUAACCAUAAACUAUGCCGACUAGGGAUCGGACGAUGUUAUUUUUUGACUCGUUCGGCACCUUACGAGAAAUCAAAGUCUUUGGG